rnacentral:rRNA from 1 species
GACGAACGCUGGCGGCGUGCCUAAUACAUGCAAGUGGGACGCAAGGAAACACACUGUGCUUGCACACCGUGUUUUCUUGAGUCGCGAACGGGUGAGUAACGCGUAGGUAACCUGCCUAUUAGCGGGGGAUAACUAUUGGAAACGAUAUCUAAUACCGCAUAAUAUUAAUUAUUCCAUGAUACUUGAUUGAAAGAUGCAAGCGCAUCACUAGUAGAUGGACCUGCGUUGUAUUAGCUAGUUGGUAAGGUAAGAGCUUACCAAGGCGACGAUACAUAGCCGACAUGAGGGGGUGAUCGGCCACAAUGGGACUGAGACACGGCCCAGACUCCUACGGGAGGCAGCAGUAGGGAAUCUUCGGAAAUGGACGAAAGGCUGAACGAGCAACGCCGCGUGAGUGAAGAAGGUUUUCGGAUCGUAAAGCUCUGUUGUAAGUGAAGAACGUGUGUGAGAGUGGAAAGUUCACACAGUGACGGUAGCUUACCAGAAAGGGACGGCUAACUACGUG